AUUACAACUAGUUACCAUUCUCUGUAUUUAACCCAGCGAACUACAUAUCGGAAACUAAAAUUUAUUGGAGAGAUUCUCAGAACCAUACUAGAAACAUUACCGAGGUCUCAUCUAGUUUUCUCUACUGCCUUCCAAGGUUUCUACUGUACAAUUUCUCAUUGAAAACUGCCUCAGCAUUUUUUAAGAAGACAUCACUUCCCCCUUGGGGAAGAAAGAACUCAAUGACUUGAAGAAACUGAUGCUUCAGGUACCUUGAAAAAUUCAGCUGGUUUUGAUGAGAAACAGUCAAUGGGGCUGUUAGGGGUCCUGGCGGAUGCUUAGGCAGUGGCUGUCCUGGAUUCCAGGGAAUGCCCCAAACCCAGUGAUGCAGGACCCAGGACUCCAUCUGCUCAUUCUUCAUAAGGUUGGCUCACAGGUCAUCUGCUGAGAAGGUCAUCUUCUCCGUCUUCACUGGGCUCACUGAAUGAGGACAUUCCAAGAUCCCAGCUCAUCUCAUUUGAGCUUUCCUUUUCCUAAUCCCAUGCAUCUGUGUUUGAGAAAAUCUUCCCAAGUGAUAGAUCUUCUAUUUUCCGAUUUCUUCCAUGUUGUAUUACUUUUUUUAUUAAUAAUAAUAAAUACACAUAUUUUUGGUGUGUACAUGCA
rnacentral:lncRNA from 10 species